rnacentral:rRNA from 1 species
CGGACGGGUGAGUAACGCGUGGGUAACCUGCCUUGUACAGGGGGAUAACAGUUGGAAACGGCUGCUAAUACCGCAUAAGCGCACAGCAUCGCAUGAUGCAGUGUGAAAACCUCCGGUGGUAUAAGAUGGACCCGCGUUGGAUUAGCUAGUUGGUGAGGUAACGGCCCACCAAGGCGACGAUCCAUAGCCGACCUGAGAGGGUGACCGGCCACAUUGGGACUGAGACACGGCCCAA